rnacentral:lncRNA from 1 species
AGUUCCAUUCAUCAAAAGAUAUCAGCCAACACAUUCAUUCAACAUACAUAGAAGAUGCAUUUUUUCAUCACUCAAGUUAGCUACAACCAUUCAUUAAAUACCCAAGUCAACAUUUAGGUCAUGUACUGUUACAAAAUAUGAUGAGCAACUUCUCAAGAGACAAAUUAUUUGAUCACUUGACUACUACAAAAUAUUAUGGAAGAUACCCAGUCUUUGAUCAAGCCGACAUUAACUUCCACAUGAACAAAAUGUGUUGACAAUAUUCCAUGUUAUGGACAAAAGCGAUCAACCAAACAUCCUGGAUUAACCUCAGUACUUCCUACUUUCUGCCAUUUGUCCCUGCAAAACAACUUGUAUCUUUGAGCAAUCUUAGAAAAUGCGAACCACACAUGAUGAAAGAGACUGAUUUCAUAGACCAUAAUAUUGAUGUAUAUUUGAGUCCAAAAGAGAUGAUAAAAAGGGUAUCACAUAGAUGAAAUAGACGUGCACAUCAUCUAUAAUUUCAACGAUCUGGACUAAGACUUUUCUGCGUUAAAAAUAGUUUUUUAAUCCUAUCAAGUGCCGAGAUUGGAAAAAAUGUGUCAUCUAUAUAUAUGAAUGGAGCAAAUAGAUUAACAAUUUAAAUUCCGAUCACUACAUCCUCAUGUUCAGCUUCAUGCAUGGCAUAUUAGCCCCGCGGAUUGUAGUGGCUAACAGUAAACCACCCAUCAUCAAUUGGGUCUUCAACUUAAAAACAUGAGUUGCUUGCGACGCUAAAACGAAAGGCUCGUCUGAUACAUUUUCACCAGUUUGAUCAAAUGCUUGAAAUUUAUAGAAGUUACCUCAAGGCGAUCAACCUUUACCCACUAGUCUUUUCUGCGAUUGUCAACCCAAUCACAUUUGAAGAGAACUAUUUUUCCUUUAUUUUGAUAGUUCAACUCAAGAAUUUCCUUUAUGAUAUCGUAAAAUGUUUGGUGACCUAUUAUCAUAUUAUCAUCGUUUCCUUUUUCAUAAUGUCUAGUCUGUGAAACUAGAGACAUACCACUAUUUUGCACUAGCCUACCAUCGUCAUAGGACCAUCAUCAUAAAAUAUGUAUCUCCUCUCGCACUUUGUCACUCAUUUCUUCCACGUGUGAAUAUGGAAUAUAGUACUUUUGAAAGUGGAUGGAACUCACUCCAUAUAUAUACAUCACAAGAAAACACAUACAUGUGACCACUUACAUGCUUCUUAAACCACUCAUGGAAGGACUCAUGUUGGACAUGACUAAUUUGUUGAUUAUUUUUAAGAACAUUUGUGAAUGAUGUUCUUUAUGAUUGCUGCAUAUUAUUCAUUACUUCAACAACAAGCAUAAAUAAAAUAUAAAUUGGAAAAAAUAGAUAGCUUACUUCAAAUAAAGUUCUAUGUGGUCAUAGUUGAACAAGACAUAUCUCUGAGCUUGAAGCCAAGUCUUAUUGUACAAUGCAUGGAAUGCUUGCCAACUAAUCCUUGACCAAGGUUGCUCAAGAAAGGUGUGGUACUACCCAAACCUUGAUCAUUUCUAAUUUGUCGAGUGAACUGAGUUUCACCUUUUAAAUACCAAGAACAAAAGGUAAGAGUCUCAUCAAAUAAAUAGCUCUCAGCAAUAGUGUAACAGCCCAAGUGCAAUCCUUGCCAUCUUUGUAAUAUAUUCCAUGUGGGAACCAUCCAUGUAUUCCAUCAUGUGGUUUGAUUUAAUAAAUUGCUUCAUACAAUUUUUUUGCACAUGGCAUCAUGGCAUCAUUCCAUAAUCAUUCUUUUGCAUGAUAUGAUGUUGUGUGAAUGUGUGUUGUGGUGUUGAUGUGCUUGCAUGAGGUGGAUUGCUCUAGUAGAUUGCCUUCAUG